rnacentral:rRNA from 1 species
ACGAACGCUGGCGGCGUGCUUCACCCCUGCCCGUCGAACGGAAAGGCCCCUUUGGGGGUACUCGAGUGGCGAACGGGUGAGUAACACGUGAGUAACCUGCCCUUGACUUCGGGAUAACUUCAGGAAACUGGGGCUAAUACCGGAUAGGAAUCCUUGCUGCAUGGUGGGGGUUGGAAAGCUUCGGCGGUUUUGGAUGGACUCGCGGCUUAUCAGCUUGUUGGUGGGGUAGUGGCUUACCAAGGCUUUGACGGGUAGCCGGCCUGAGAGGGCGACCGGCCACAUUGGGACUGAGAUACGGCCCAGACUCCUACGGGAGGCAGCAGUGGGGAAUAUUGCACAAUGGGCGGAAGCCUGAUGCAGCAACGCCGCGUGCGGGAUGACGGCCUUCGGGUUGUAAACCGCUUUCAGCAGGGGCGAAGCUUGUGGUGACGGUACCUGCAGAAGAAGCACCGGCUAACUACGUG